UGGAGAGAAAAUUUCACUAACUUUUUCUAAUUAAAAUUUAUUUUACUACUUUGGGCUGCCGCUAUCAUGUGUUUUAAUUAGUUUUAUAGCUAAUGGGUUCGUUUCAAUUUUAGACCUUUAACCCUCUCUUUGACUGCGUGCGAAAACGCAUCUAGAACAACCUUCAUUUUGCAAUGUCCUGCCUCGGUGUUUUUUUUUGUAGCUAACAGUAACAGAGAAAACGGAAAAACUGAGUGCAACUGAGGAAAUAGUUUACCUAUGUGGCUGCGUUUAACUUGUUUGAAAUGGAUUUUGUCUUUUGUUUUGCCUCCAAGGUAGAUAGGUUUAAGUUGUCCUCUUGGGUCCUUAUUUAAAUGUUUGAUGUAUGCGUCUUGGAGAAAUUGUGCAUCUUUCACUUGCUGGUAACCUUUCUUUCUGGUCUAAAACAUGCAUAAAGAUGUUCGCUUUACAGCUAAUAGAGCUUGCUUUCCAUUAGCAUUUUGCUAUUAAUUCCAUUUUGAAGUUCAUUAAUGACUUAUUUAAUAGCCUUAUUCACCGAUAUUAUGGAUGCAUAAAUGAGGAGAGAGAUGUCAAGGCUCUGGCGUGCUAUUUGAAUAACGCUUUUGCGGUGUACACAAACCCACCAUAAGCUUUCACGAGUUUUGUUAUUAGAGGUAAAUUUCUGAAUCUGUAUUGAGGGAAGUUGAAUUUGCAAAGGAAUAUACUUGGUUUUUUUCCUUUUCUUAGAACAAAUGGCUUCUGUAAGCGUUGUACCUACUUCUGGAUUAAAAGAUCCAAGUGGAAAUACAGCUGGUGUUGAUAGGUUACCUGAUGAGAUGAAUGACAUGAAAAUUAGGGAUGACAAGGAAAUGGAAGCAACGGUUGUUGAUGGUAACGGAACAGAGACGGGCCACAUAAUUGUCACAACCAUUGGUGGCAAAAAUGGACAGCCAAAACAGACAAUAAGCUAUAUGGCUGAGCGUGUUGUUGGACAUGGAUCUUUUGGAGUAGUAUUCCAGGCUAAGUGCCUAGAGACUGGUGAAACUGUUGCAAUUAAAAAGGUUCUACAAGAUAAAAGGUACAAGAACCGUGAGCUGCAAACUAUGCGUCUUCUGGACCACCCCAAUGUAGUGUCCCUGAAACACUGUUUCUUCUCGACGACUGAAAAAAGUGAGCUUUAUCUUAACCUGGUACUUGAGUAUGUCCCUGAGACUGUCCACCGCGUGAUCAAACACUAUAAUAAGAUGGGCCAAAGGAUGCCACUAAUAUACGUGAAACUUUAUUUUUACCAGAUUUGUAGAGCUCUUGCAUACAUUCACAACACUAUUGGAGUGUGCCAUAGGGACAUAAAGCCUCAAAAUUUGUUGGUUAACCCACACACCCACCAGCUGAAAUUAUGUGACUUUGGAAGUGCAAAAGUUUUGGUGAAAGGGGAACCAAACAUAUCUUAUAUAUGUUCUAGGUAUUAUCGAGCACCUGAACUUAUAUUUGGUGCAACUGAGUACACCACAGCCAUUGACAUUUGGUCUGCUGGUUGUGUCCUAGCUGAAUUGUUGCUUGGACAGCCUCUCUUUCCUGGUGAGAGUGGAGUGGACCAGCUUGUUGAAAUUAUAAAGGUUUUGGGUACCCCAACACGUGAAGAAAUCAAGUGCAUGAAUCCCAACUACACUGAGUUCAAAUUUCCGCAAAUCAAAGCUCACCCAUGGCAUAAGGUACUAGCAAUAUCUACUCACCUGCAAUUUGAAUUCCCAGUGAUGAUACGCCAUGUCCAUGUAUUCAUCUGCAUAUCAUUGAUCACCAGAUAUUCCAUAAGCGUAUGCCCCCUGAAGCUGUGGACCUUGUCUCAAGACUAUUGCAGUACUCUCCAAAUCUUCGAAGCACAGCUGUAAGUGCAAAAUUUCCUUUACAGUUGCCCAUGCUGGAAUUAUCGUUUAAAAGCGUCCACCCCAUUGAGGCUAAUAUUUCUCUACCAUAUGUAGUUGACAUGUCUUUUUUGUUGUUAUGCUAGAUGGUUGUCUCUAUCUGUCGUGCCUGUGAUUACUGUUUAGCUCUUUAAGUACUUCUGACUUCUUUUCAUCAGUAAUAUUAUGGCUCGUUAGACCUUAAUUAUGAUUUAUCCUACGGAGAUCCCGUGUUUGAAGUGUGAUUUUGCGAACAUGUGGAAAUGCUAUCUUAAAGCAGCUACUUCUUGUCAGUUAGACUGGAUGCAUAUCUUCUGUGUAGUAGGAUGGAUUAAUGAGUUGUGAGGCCAAUAUUAGACUUCACCAUCUGUUAUUCAUUUGUGAUUGUGCUUCCGUAUUUCUAGUGAUUUUCAUCAAUUCCUUUAUUUUCCGUGCAGCUGGAGGCUUUGAUCCAUCCCUUCUUCAAUGAGCUACGUGACCCUAGCACCCGCUUACCAAAUGGACGCUUCCUUCCACCACUUUUCAACUUUAAGCCUCAUGGUGAUGCACCAUUUAAGUAUUUUUUGCUAUUGCUAUGCCCUUUUAUAAUAAUUUGUUGAUUAUCUCCUUUCUAUGGUCAGAACUGAAGGGCUUGCCAGUUGAGAUGUUGGUGAAGCUAAUCCCAGAGCAUGCAAGAAAGCAAUGUACGUUUCUUGGCUUAUGAUUGAACGCGAAUUGUAGCGAACUUGGGCAAAGUGAUUUCUGCGUUAUCCUGAUAUGGAAACAAUGAUGUUUGUUUAUGCUAUUUGGGUAAUCUUUAUUUUCACAUGAUUUUGCUGUAUCACCUUGUUAUUAUGUAAAAGCAGAUUUAGAGACAUGGUUAUUGAUGUUUGCCCAAGCCUCCAUGGGUGGUCUGAUUUACCCUGUUCCUGUAUCACAACAUAUUGUAACAUUACAAAAGCUGACAAAGAUCAAGUGUCUUAUUUAUAUUUCUACUACUAGAAGACAUGUAUUUUGUGUUUUAAUUAUUGUUAUGUUGAUGAUGGAGGGUGCUUAGGCUCAGGCUCAACAGUUUUUUUUAAUUGAAGCCUGAGCCUUAUUAGGGCAGCUCUACCUUCCUUUUUGUGCUGGACUGCUGGUGAUUGAAUACCUGCAAUUUGAACAUGCCUUUGGUGGCCAAUUUCUUGCUCUCUCUCUCACUCAAUUGUAGCGAGUUCAGGGUUCAAUGGUGUUUCAGUUUUAGUUGGUU
rnacentral:misc_RNA from 1 species